rnacentral:lncRNA from 1 species
AAGAUUUUUAUGUAUGGAUGAUGAACAAAGUAUUUUUUUGUUUCCAUUUUUACUUUAUUUUUUUGGAAAAUCUGUUCAUUUUCUUUUAAACCUACCUCUUUCUAGACCAAAAAUUGGUUAGUUCCUCCGGCUUUACCUGGGGAUUUCUAAAAAAUCAUGGAUUGCCAUUCUGUAUAGAAACAAUUUUACUAAAUCUACUUCUUGUCAUUUGAAUGAGAACAAAUCACAACAUAUGUUUAUUAAUCAGUGAAUAAUGGUAGAAGUUCAUUUCAUACUUCUCAAGUCUCACAAACUUGCUUUUUUCUUUUUUGCUUUAAUUUCAGGUUUCUUGUGGUCUAGAUUGGUGACAAUUUCAGUUGGGUAUAGGAGUGACCACUAUGCGGUGGCUGAGUCUGUCAAUUGCUGCUUUUCGUUGUGUUAUCUCCUUCAAUUUUUACUGCAGGGUUAUUCUAUAAGCUGUAAUUUCAUCUGUUGAAAUCAACCAAAUUGUUGUUUCCACUAUCCUCUUAUCUCUAGCUAUCAAUGGGAUCCAGUCACCUUUCUUCUUUCUUCAAGUAUUUUAUCUUCAUUCUAUAAAUUUAAGUAAGUGAUAGAACUGGUCAAAACUUUGUAGCUCAAACAACUGUUGUGUUUAUUUCUGACUCAAGUUUGUAGUCUCUGUAUCUUGGUGACCUUGAUCUUUUGUUCAAAUUGAUUGCAUUUCCUAUAAUAGAUCUACUAGAUCCUUCAUCUUUGUUUUUAGAUCGGGCUUCAUUUUUUCUAUUAGUAGUUUUGCGUUUCCACGGUUUACUUUCAUAGACUUUGAAGACCAGUCAAGAGUCAAAAGAAGUAUGGUGUGCCAAGCAGCGAGCCAAACGCGGUUUAAGGCAUUAAAACAUGAGAGUGGGAUUGCUGGGAGAACAACCAUCAUAGUUAGAGUAAUAGCAUGCUUUCAACCUUUGCAGACUUGNAUCCGCGCAGAGUUUGGCCGUUGCUCGUCUAGAGAGUGUAUAUGAUCAAGAUUGUGGAUUUAUUUGUUAUUUUAUGUAAAAUAAUAAACUAGAAAUUCUAGAAUUGUCUUUGAGACAUCCAAAUUCCUAAUUUUACCUUCUUCAGUUCUCUGUCCGAUAGAUAUUAUUGUCAUUGCCAUCUCAAUUAAUAGAUAUCUGUUAUCAUAAUUUCACUGUUAUAAUCUCU